UUGAAGAGUUUGAUCAUGGCUCAGAUUGAACGCUGGCGGCAGGCCUAACACAUGCAAGUCGAGCGGUAGCACAGAGAGCUUGCUCUCAGGUGACGAGCGGCGGACGGGUGAGUAAUGUCUGGGAAACUGCCUGAUGGAGGGGGAUAACUACUGGAAACGGUAGCUAAUACCGCAUAAUGUCGCAAGACCAAAGUGGGGGACCUUCGGGCCUCAUGCCAUCAGAUGUGCCCAGAUGGGAUUAGCUAGUAGGUGGGGUAACGGCUCACCUAGGCGACGAUCCCUAGCUGGUCUGAGAGGAUGACCAGCCACACUGGAACUGAGACACGGUCCAGACUCCUACGGGAGGCAGCAGUGGGGAAUAUUGCACAAUGGGCGCAAGCCUGAUGCAGCCAUGCCGCGUGUGUGAAGAAGGCCUUCGGGUUGUAAAGCACUUUCAGCGGGGAGGAAGGCGAUAAGGUUAAUAACCUUGUCGAUUGACGUUACCCGCAGAAGAAGCACCGGCUAACUCCGUGCCAGCAGCCGCGGUAAUACGGAGGGUGCAAGCGUUAAUCGGAAUUACUGGGCGUAAAGCGCACGCAGGCGGUCUGUCAAGUCGGAUGUGAAAUCCCCGGGCUCAACCUGGGAACUGCAUUCGAAACUGGCAGGCUAGAGUCUUGUAGAGGGGGGUAGAAUUCCAGGUGUAGCGGUGAAAUGCGUAGAGAUCUGGAGGAAUACCGGUGGCGAAGGCGGCCCCCUGGACAAAGACUGACGCUCAGGUGCGAAAGCGUGGGGAGCAAACAGGAUUAGAUACCCUGGUAGUCCACGCCGUAAACGAUGUCGAUUUGGAGGUUGUGCCCUUGAGGCGUGGCUUCCGGAGCUAACGCGUUAAAUCGACCGCCUGGGGAGUACGGCCGCAAGGUUAAAACUCAAAUGAAUUGACGGGGGCCCGCACAAGCGGUGGAGCAUGUGGUUUAAUUCGAUGCAACGCGAAGAACCUUACCUGGUCUUGACAUCCACAGAACUUAGCAGAGAUGCUUUGGUGCCUUCGGGAACUGUGAGACAGGUGCUGCAUGGCUGUCGUCAGCUCGUGUUGUGAAAUGUUGGGUUAAGUCCCGCAACGAGCGCAACCCUUAUCCUUUGUUGCCAGCGGUUAGGCCGGGAACUCAAAGGAGACUGCCAGUGAUAAACUGGAGGAAGGUGGGGAUGACGUCAAGUCAUCAUGGCCCUUACGACCAGGGCUACACACGUGCUACAAUGGCAUAUACAAAGAGAAGCGACCUCGCGAGAGCAAGCGGACCUCAUAAAGUAUGUCGUAGUCCGGAUUGGAGUCUGCAACUCGACUCCAUGAAGUCGGAAUCGCUAGUAAUCGUAGAUCAGAAUGCUACGGUGAAUACGUUCCCGGGCCUUGUACACACCGCCCGUCACACCAUGGGAGUGGGUUGCAAAAGAAGUAGGUAGCUUAACCUUCGGGAGGGCGCUUACCACUUUGUGAUUCAUGACUGGGGUGAAGUCGUAACAAGGUAACCGUAGGGGAACCUGCGGUUGGAUCACCUCCUU
rnacentral:rRNA from 1 species